UAGUAGGUGAGGUAACGGCUCACCUAGGCGACGAUACAUAGCCGACCUGAGAGGGUGAUCGGCCACACUGGGACUGAGACACGGCCCAGACUCCUACGGGAGGCAGCAGUAGGGAAUCUUCGGCAAUGGGGGGAACCCUGACCGAGCAACGCCGCGUGAGUGAAGAAGGUUUUCGGAUCGUAAAGCUCUGUUGUUAAGGAAGAACGAGUGUGAGAAUGGAAAGUUCAUACUGUGACGGUACUUAACCAGAAAGGGACGGCUAACUACGUGCCAGCAGCCGCGGUAAUACGUAGGUCCCGAGCGUUGUCCGGAUUUAUUGGGCGUAAAGCGAGCGCAGGCGGUUAGAUAAGUCUGAAGUUAAAGGCAGUGGCUCAACCAUUGUAGGCUUUGGAAACUGUUUAACUUGAGUGCAGAAGGGGAGAGUGGAAUUCCAUGUGUAGCGGUGAAAUGCGUAGAUAUAUGGAGGAACACCGGUGGCGAAAGCGGCUCUCUGGUCUGUAACUGACGCUGAGGCUCGAAAGCGUGGGGAGCGAACAGGAUUAGAUACCCUGGUAGUCCACGCCGUAAACGAUGAGUGCUAGGUGUUAGGUCCUUUCCGGGACUUAGUGCCGCAGCUAACGCAUUAAGCACUCCGCCUGGGGAGUACGACCGCAAGGUUGAAACUCAAAGGAAUUGACGGG
rnacentral:rRNA from 1 species